GGUCUGCCUGUUAGUCUGCAGACGGAAAUUCACACGUCCACAGUGACCAUAGUAUUGAAUUUCUCUGUAUCUGUGGUCUUUCUCGAGGUGCCUGGGCCCGGCUUUACCAUUGCCCAGAAGCGCUGGAGCUCUGCUUCUGUCUGGUUUUGGCCAUCAGUGAGGGUUUGAGCAGAGAUGCUUCCAAUAAAAGGAUUGUGAAACUAUUCCCAUCGGUGCCCUGUCCUCUGCCCACAAUAGCGAUGGAGAAGAUUGCUGGAUUUCCAUCAGCAGAACAAUCUGAGCAUGAACUCUACUUCUACAGUUUAAGAAAGCUUCUCCAUUCACUGCUUGCCAAAGAAACAGGUGAUAUUUUUUUAAGCGUUUUUGUUUGGAGAUUGGCAAGUGAGCAUUGUAAUGAACUGCAACCCAAAUGCUUGUGUCGAAAUACUUCUGUUAAUAUCACCUUCCUUCCUGGUCUGUGAUUUGCUGUUUAUUUUUAAGUCUUCUAGGGCUUAAACUAUGGUCUUUGGCUACACUGAUAUUUGUAGCUUCCUGGCGUGUCCCGGGAAAAUGGGUGAGACCAUGGCAGACCAGUCCCUGGGGAAGGUGUUGAGCAUAGAUGUUGAGGUGCUGCACUGCUGGUCAACCCUUCCUGGGAACAACAAAGGACAGCGCUGUGGUUUCAAGAUAAAUGCUUGUCCGGGGUGAAAACCCCAUUUUCAUUUAAGAUGAAAAACGGAUAAACAACAAACGGUGGAUGAUACAUUCAAUCCAUAAAACACCAUUCUCGGACACAGCUCUUAGGGAACUCGUAAUUGCUGUUAUCGAAUGGAUUUUGGAGUGGUUAAACCAACAUUUGGGCAUGCAAUAGCUUUUCUGCGAAACAUGGCAUUUUUUUCCAGUAUGUUCCAUUCUAAAUGCACUCAUUUUAUAGUUGAAAUGAUGUUUUCAUUCUCUGGUUCCUCUGCCUAUGCUUGGGAUUGAGGGUCCCAGCUCUCAACAACGCUUCUGCAGGCUUCUUCAAUGAGGUUGCAGAGAUGUUGCUGAUAUGGCCAUGACUUGGAUGGUGUGGAGUUCAGAAGAGCUUGAGCAGCAAGGGCUUUGUCUAUAAAGGAAGGAAAAUAGCCUGGAAACACAGCUCAGCUCUGUCUCUGGGGCUGGACUGCUGCACACAGAGACAGAAAUGAGACCUGAUAUCUCCUUGCUGAGAUCGAAGCAAACAUUUGCUUCUUCAGGUUUGUCCCUUUUCACGAGCACACAUGUGGUCUCCUACCAUUUCUCAGCAGAUAUGUGGCAUCUUGCUCAGCCGUUCGAAGAUCUGAGUGCUAAAAUAUUAGAAAAAGAGAUAAAUAAUUUAAAGAAAACAGAACAAUAUAAAAAAGGGGAAAAGAAAACACAGAGAUCACAGCAGGAUCUCAGGGGCUCGUGUUGGAGUGGACAGGCAUGACAAGGGCACAUUUAGUAAUUGGCUGUUCUUUACAUCACAGGGCAGAAAUAUGAAAAAUAUGAAAUAUGUAGCAGGGCUGGAUAAGAAGGAAAAUGUAAUAAGAGUAGGACAAAGAAUGCCACAUGCUCCAACCACAUCUGAACUUGGCAGCAGCAGAGCAGGGAAGACCAUGUAAAUCCUAGAAGCAUGUUAAAAGCAUUUUCACCCCACAAAGACUGACACGCAUGAGAAGUAUCUUUUCAACAAUGUCAAUCAAGAGCCUGGAGAAAUAAUUUCCUAAUAUACUGCCUAGCAGGCCAACACGACUGGUUGGAACAACGUUCACAUCUUGAAAUGGGAGUUAAUUUGCAAUAGGUUUGUAACAGGGGCAAAGAAGUGUGAAGACGUAAAGCCUGCGUGAACAAGCCUGCGUGUCAUUGCUGAAUUUAAAUACAGUUAGCAAAGAGAGAUUUCAUCAAGGGGCCCAAGGAAAACACAACAGCAGAAGGAAAGCACGUGAAAAUGAAGCACAGACAAUAACACGUGAACCCAGACCAAGGGGUGCGGUAGAAAAUGCCAUAAUGAGAAAAGCUCUGGAUAUUCUCUAAGUCACGUCCAAAGGAAAUUAUUAUCCAGGUCUCUGUCAGCUUCUGCACGAUGGAAAACUUUGGCUUAGAAAUAGUUUCUGGAACCACUUCCACCCAAAGGUCUGCGGAGCAUAACUUGGUAACCGCUGUGUCUAGGAAGGAGGUAAACGCUGCUGUCAGGAUCGGUGGGAACUGUCUGUGGAUGCAGGACAGAAAUGCAGAGGAAACAUUGCUCCUUCUUCUUGCUCCUGCCAAAAUGGAUGUAGGAAGUCAAGCUGAGUCUGCUAGAGAGAGCACAGGAUGGUGCUGCCCACACCCAUUACUUGCUUGUGCUUGAUGCUUGUGGACUA